UACAGAGGCCACGAGCGUUAGGCGGAAUCACUGGGCUUAAAGCGUGUGUAGGUGGAUGGGUAAGUACCUUGUGAAAUCCCACAGCUCAACUGUGGAACUGCUUGGUAUACUGCCUGUCUUGAGGCACUCAGGGGCGAGCGGAACAGAUGGUGGAGCGGUGAAAUGCGUAGAUAUCAUUUGGAACGCCAAUGGUGAAAACAGGUAGCUGGGGAUGUGCUGACGCUGAGACACGAAAGCCAGGGGAGCAAACGGG
rnacentral:rRNA from 1 species